rnacentral:rRNA from 1 species
UACGUAGGGUGCGAGCGUUGUCCGGAAUUACUGGGCGUAAAGAGCUCGUAGGCGGUCUGUCGCGUCGGAUGUGAAAACCCAGGGCUCAACCCUGGGCCUGCAUUCGAUACGGGCAGACUAGAGUACGGCAGGGGAGACUGGAAUUCCUGGUGUAGCGGUGAAAUGCGCAGAUAUCAGGAGGAACACCGGUGGCGAAGGCGGGUCUCUGGGCCGAUACUGACGCUGAGGAGCGAAAGCGUGGGGAGCGAACAGG